GACGAACGCUGGCGGCGUGCUUAACACAUGCAAGUCGAACGGAAAGGCCCUGCUUUUGUGGGGUGCUCGAGUGGCGAACGGGUGAGUAACACGUGAGUAACCUGCCCUUGACUUUGGGAUAACUUCAGGAAACUGGGGCUAAUACCGGAUAGGAGCUCCUGCUGCAUGGUGGGGGUUGGAAAGUUUCGGCGGUUGGGGAUGGACUCGCGGCUUAUCAGCUUGUUGGUGGGGUAGUGGCUUACCAAGGCUUUGACGGGUAGCCGGCCUGAGAGGGUGACCGGCCACAUUGGGACUGAGAUACGGCCCAGACUCUUACGGGAGGCAGCAGUGGGGAAUAUUGCACAAUGGGCGGAAGCCUGAUGCAGCAACGCCGCGUGCGGGAUGACGGCCUUCGGGUUGUAUACCGCUUUCGCCUGUGACGAAGCGUGAGUGACGGUAAUGGGUAAAGAAGCACCGGCUAACUACGUG
rnacentral:rRNA from 1 species